rnacentral:rRNA from 1 species
UGGGGAAUUUUGGACAAUGGGGGAAACCCUGAUCCAGCCAUCCCGCGUGUGCGAUGAAGGCCUUCGGGUUGUAAAGCACUUUUGGCAGGAAAGAAACGUCAUGGGUUAAUACCCCGUGAAACUGACGGUACCUGCAGAAUAAGCACCGGCUAACUACGUGCCAGCAGCCGCGGUAAUACGUAGGGUGCAAGCGUUAAUCGGAAUUACUGGGCGUAAAGCGUGCGCAGGCGGUUCGGAAAGAAAGAUGUGAAAUCCCAGAGCUCAACUUUGGAACUGCAUUUUUAACUACCGGGCUAGAGUGUGUCAGAGGGGGGUGGAAUUCCGCGUGUAGCGGUGAAAUGCGUAGAUAUGCGGAGGAACACCGAUGGCGAAGGCAGCCGCCUGGGAUAACACUGACGCUCAUGCACGAAAGCGUGGGGAGCAAACAGG